GCGCACAUGGGAUACAGGCCUGGCCCUGGCCAGAGCGCGCCGGUCGCAAGAUGGCUGCGGCCAUGCGAGGCCUUGGUAUGUGCGCGCAGCGGGCAGCAAAGCGGCCCGGACAGCAGGGUCAGAGACGACACUAGCUCAGCCUUCGGCCACUCUUCUAGAACGCCACCCCAGCCUCUGCCUGUUUCGUCCGAGAUGGAUCUGGCCGUGGGCCCCGGUGCAGCGGGGCCCAGCAACGUCCCGGCCUUCCUAACCAAGCUUUGGACCCUCGUGAGCGACCCGGACACCGACGCGCUCAUCUGCUGGAGCCCGAGUGGGAACAGCUUCCACGUGUUUGAUCAGGGCCAGUUUGCCAAGGAGGUGCUGCCCAAGUACUUCAAGCACAACAACAUGGCCAGCUUCGUGCGGCAGCUCAACAUGUAUGGCUUCCGAAAAGUAGUCCACAUUGAGCAGGGUGGCCUGGUCAAGCCUGAGAGGGAUGACACCGAGUUCCAGCAUCCAUGUUUCCUACGUGGCCAGGAACAGCUCCUUGAGAACAUCAAGAGGAAAGUGACCAGCGUGUCCACCCUGAAGAGUGAGGACAUAAAAAUACGCCAGGACAGUGUCACCAGGCUGUUGACAGAUGUGCAGCUGAUGAAGGGGAAACAGGAGUGUAUGGACUCCAAGCUUUUGGCAAUGAAGCACGAGAACGAGGCCCUGUGGCGGGAGGUGGCCAGCCUGCGGCAGAAGCAUGCCCAGCAGCAAAAAGUUGUCAACAAGCUCAUUCAGUUCCUGAUCUCACUGGUGCAGUCGAACCGGAUCCUGGGGGUGAAGAGAAAGAUCCCUCUGAUGUUGAGUGACAGCAGCUCAGCACACUCAGUGCCCAAGUAUGGUCGACAGUACUCCCUGGAGCAUGUCCAUGGUCCCGGUCCAUACUCAGUAAGCACCAGGCUCCAUGGGACUGCCACCUACAGCAGCUCUAGCCUUUACACCUCUGAUGCUGUCACUAGCUCUGGACCCAUAAUCUCCGAUAUCACUGAGCUGGCUCCCUCCAGCCCUUUGGCCUCCCCAAGCAGGCGCAUAGAUGAGAGGCCCCUGUCCAGCAGUACCCUGAUCCGUGUCAAAGAAGAACCCCCCAGCCCACCUCGGAGCCCUCGGGUACUGGAGGCGAGCCCUGGGCGCCCAUCCUCUGUGGAUACCCCUUUGUCCCCAACUGCCUUCAUUGACUCCAUCCUUCAAGAGAGCGAGCUUACCCCUGCUGCCUCAAACACAGCCCCUAAGGACACAACCGGAGCCCAUGCCCCUACGCCCCAACCUCCCUCUACCCCUGAGAAGUGCCUCAGCGUAGCCUGCCUAGACAAUUUGGCUCGCGCUCCACAGAUGUCUGGGGUCGCCCGCCUCUUCCCCUGCCCCUCCUCUUCCUUUCUGCAUGGCCGAGUCCAGCCAGGGUUAGCGCUGCCCCCCACUUGGGAGGGAGGAGGACUCCGCCAGGGCCCCUCCCACAGCCAUGGACCAGUUCCCAACCUGGGCAUAGCACUUGCCCUGCCUGGCGAAGAGCACCAGGAGAUGGUCUCACAGGCUCUGCAUCUCCACUGACUCCCCUUUGCACAAGCCAAUGGCUGUGGUAGGGACAAGUUUCCUGCCUGGCCCAGCCACCAAUACAGGCUGCUACAAUGAGCUUCCUGCCAGGAUAGGGUAGGCCCCAUGGCACCUACAGAGCCCUUUUAACUGCCUUGCCCAUGGCCCCGGCCUUCUGGUCUAAAGGAGUUCAGGUCUACUCAUGCCAAGCACAGUCCUGUUUCCUCUCCUUACUCUCUUCCUGAUGCAGUGGCAAGACUGUCAAACCUGAAACAUCUGCCUGCUCUCCUGCCUAUCUCUAGAGCCAACGACCCUUGCCCUUUUUCUCCACCACCCUCUUGGCCCAGCCUUAGUUAAUACUAAACUCUCCUAGGUUGUCCUGCCCAUGGGCCAUGCUAUAUCAGCAGCCAUGAAAGGCAAGCUUACCACUGCCCUUUCUAGCAUCUUCCCAGAGGUCCACACACACUGUCCCCCAGCCCAUGCUGGCUAUGCAGAUGGACCUUGCUUUGGGGGGCUACAGCCAAAGGGGAGCCCUUCUCCAUCAGGAGUGCGGCUGGGUGGGAGCCUGGGGCACUAGUUCACCUGCCCACUUGCCCUGGGCCAGGAACGAGCUAAGUGAUCACUUGGAUGCCAUGGACUCCAACCUGGACAACCUGCAGACCAUGCUGACAAGCCACGGCUUCAGCGUGGACACCAGUGCCCUGCUGGACCUGUUCAGCCCCUCGGUGACCAUGCCCGACAUGAGCCUGCCUG